rnacentral:lncRNA from 1 species
AAGCAGAUCGGCGGCCGCGGGGAGGUUCGGGGCGGCGCAGCCCCGCGCGGUUGUGGGAUCGCUCCCGGGGGCCGCUCCUCUCUCGGGCACUGGGGUCGCGGGAGACGUCGUCGGGAGCUCGGUUUCUGGAGGCCCUUCCCCACCCGGCCUCUGCCUCCUCCACUCCCCCGGGCUGGACGGAACGGGGCCCAGCGCGGGAUGCGAGGGUCUUACUAUGUCACCCAGACUGAAGUGCAGUGGCAUGAUCACAGGUCAUUGCAUCCUCAACCACCCAGACUCAAGCAAUCCUCCUGUCUCAGCCUUCCAAGUAACUGAGACCACAGAAAUAACCAUGGAUAUGGGUAGAGACAGAGCCAUAUGGAAUGCACACUGCAGUGGUGAACACAUGGCCCAGCUCUGCCAUCAAGGAGAAGGAACAUGAAUGGAGCUGGAGGCCAUCAUCCUUAGUGAACUAACACAGGAGCAGAAAACCAAAUACCACAUGUUCUCAUGUGUAAGUGGGAGCUAAAUGAUGAGAACACAUGGACACAAAGAGGGGAACAACAGACACUGAAGCCUCCUUGAGGGAGGAGGGUAAGAGGAAGGAGAAGAUCAGAAAAGAUAACUACCAGGUACUAUGGUAGCUUAGUACCUGGGUGAUGAAAUAAUCUGUACACCCAACCCUCAUGACAGAAGUUUACCUGUGUAACAAACCUGCACAUGUAUCCCUGAAACUAAAAGUUUUUUAAAAAGUUAUUUAAUAUAUAUAUAUUUUUUUGAGACGGAGUUUUGCUCUUGUUGCCCAGGCUGGAGUGCGGUGGCGCAAUUUCGGCUCACCACAACCUCCGCCUCCCAGGUUCAAGCUAUUCCCCUGCCUCAGCCUCCCUAGUAGCUGGGAUUACAGGCUUGUGCCACCACGCCGGCUAAUUUUGUAUUUUUUGUAGAGACGGGGUUUCUCCAUGUUGGUCAGGCUGGUCUCGAACUCCCGACCUCAGGUGAUCCACCCCCCUCGGCCUCCCAAAGUGCUAGGAUUACAGGCAUGAGCCACUGCGCCCGGCAAAAAGUUAUUUAAUAUUAAUGGGACAAUACUCAUUGCAAGAAUCAGACUUCAAUUGCUAGCAUAAGUAAAUGACAGGCAGGAGAUAUUGAAAAUGCAAUCUUAUAGACAUUCAAGGAGAGGACGCAGGACAUUUCUGUGUCAUAAAUGUACUAUGGAAAAUAAAAAUGAGAAAAAUGGAAAUAAAAUACAAGAAAAGGUUAUGAUAAAUUUCAUAUUAUUUUACCACAAUAAAAAAAUUUUAAUAAAUUAUAAAUGGUGUGAUAUGUUUUGCCUGUGUUCCACCCAAAUCUCAUCUUGAAUUAGAGCUCCCACAAUUCCCACGUGUUGUGGCUGGGACCCUGUGGGAGAUAAUUGAAUCAUGGGGGCAGUUUACCCCAUACUGUUCUCUUGGUGGUGAAUAAGUCUCAUGAGAGUUGAUGGUUUGAUAAGGGGUUUCCCCUUUUGCUUGGCUCUCAUUCUCUCUUGACUGCCACCAUGUAAGAUGUGCCUUUUGCCUUCCACCAUGAUUGUGAAGCCUCCCAGCCACAUGGAACUGUGAGUCCAUUAAACCUUUUUCUUUACAAAUUA